rnacentral:rRNA from 1 species
UACGUAGGGUGCGAGCGUUGUCCGGAAUUAUUGGGCGUAAAGAGCUUGUAGGCGGUUUGUCGCGUCUGCUGUGAAAAUCCGGGGCUCAACCCCGGACUUGCAGUGGGUACGGGCAGACUAGAGUGUGGUAGGGGAGACUGGAAUUCCUGGUGUAGCGGUGGAAUGCGCAGAUAUCAGGAGGAACACCUGUGGCGAAAGCGGCGCACUGGACCACAUCUGACGCUGAGGCGCGAAAGCGUGGGGAGCGAACAGG